rnacentral:lncRNA from 1 species
GUUCCCUUUAUACAUCCUGCAGAACUAGAAAUUGAAGAAACAACAGACACGGCAUCUGUUUUCUCGUUUGAAUUGUUUUACAUUGUCUUAUCGGGGCCUUUUAUAGCUGACUAUGCGGUAUGGGCUUUGCUCAUUGUUGAGGGCCGUACGGUGACCUAUAGUUGUUAAUGUCUGUGUCAUUUUGGUCUCUUGUGGACAGUUGUCUCAUUGGCAAUCAUACCACAUCUUCUUUUUUUUAUAUUUCCUAUGCCUUGUUUUCAGACUUAAACAUCAAAUUUGACAUCAGCGGUCACCUCAGUACCAAAGGAUAUCGAACGCUUUCAAUUUUUAAAUAAUCAAUUUCCCCAACCUUAGUAGUAAUAUAUUAACUUCACUUGUAUAUGGGAU